GGGUGCUGACAGUGCCCUUGACCACUCCUUGCUCGUGCUUUUUGCAGUGGGUGCUGCUGGGGUGCAGCUCUGGGUUUGUUCCCAAGUCUCUUCCAUGCAGGAGAUUCCCUCCUCUGUCCUUCUUGGCCUUCAUUUUUGUCACCCUCCAGGCUGCACCUGAAACACGGGGGCUGUAGAGUUUCUCAUUCCCAGACACGCCAUCACCCUUCCCACUUGCCCUUGAGCAUGACAGCCCCCUGCCAGCCCCCCAUCAACCAGUGGUGGCACACAGGCUCAGCUCCUUAGCAGGACACAGGCAGGGGUCAGGGAGCCUGCAUGCACGGGGGUGGCCCCAGGGCUGCGGUGGGGCACAGCAUCCGGUGGCAUGGGGCUAGUGGUGUGUGCUGGGCCAGGCCCGGUGGUGGUGUCAGAGCACGCUUGGCCGAGGUGUGACAGUGGCAGGAAGUCACAUUAGCUGGGGGGGACCACACACAGGACAUGCUUCCACCCACCCACUCGCCACCUCUGCUGUUACAGCGUGGCAGUGAUGGCUGGCUGCGGGGGUGAGUCCUGUGAGGCACCUACCACCCCAAAGGACAGGCAGGGACAGAAAGGGGCCAGUGGCAGUGCUGGCGAGAGGGAGGCUGUGCCAUGCUGGGGACAAGGAGGCAAGUGCUGAUGACAGGGAGGCUGUGCUGGGGACAGGGCUGCUGCCCCAUACUGGGGCAGAACAGCCCUCUGAGAUACUCAUCGUCCUUUCCUCUCUGGUGGUGCUGUCCCAGAGGACACAGCGAGGACGUGUCCCAUCUGCCCGGCACUGCUGGCGGUGACGCAGCUUCUGCGACUCAAGUAUUGUUGUGCCCACAGCAACCUGGUGAGCACGGCACAGAGGAGGACAGUGGGGCUGACAUGGCCAGUGUGAUCCUGGAGAGCAUCUUCUUGAAGCGCUCACAGCAGAAGAAGAAGACAUCUCCCCUCAACUUCAAGAAGCGCCUGUUCCUGUUGACGGAGAGCAAGCUGUCCUACUACGAGUAUGACUUUGAGCGGGGGCGCCGGGGCAGUAAGAAGGGCUCAGUGGACAUUGAGAAGAUCACCUGUGUGGAGACGGUGGUGCCUGAAAACAACCCUCCCCCUGAGCGGCAGGUCCCGAGGAAAGGAGACGAUUACAACAUGGAGCAGAUCUCAAUCAUUGAAAGGUUCCCCUACCCCUUCCAGGUGGUAUAUGACGAAGGGCCCCUCUACGUCUUCUCCCCGACAGAGGAGUUGCGCAAACGCUGGAUCCAUCAGCUGAAGAGUGUGAUCCGGUACAACAGCGACCUGGUACAGAAGUAUCACCCCUGCUUCUGGAUCGACGGCCAGUACCUGUGCUGCUCCCAGACAGCCAAGAACGCCAUGGGCUGCCAGAUCCUGGAGAGCAGGAAUGGCAGUUUAAAAGUUGGGCGGUCACAUCGCAAGACAAAGAAGCCUCUUCCCCCUACUCCUGAGGAGGACCAGAUGGUGAUGAAGCCCUUGCCACCCGAGCCAGCCCCCAGCACAGCAGGCGAGAUGAAGAAGGUGGUGGCUCUCUACAACUACCUUCCGAUGAACGCACAGGACCUGCAACUGCAGAAAGGCGAGGAGUACUUCAUCCUGGAGGAAAGCCACCUGCCCUGGUGGAAAGCCCGUGACAAGAAUGGGAGGGAAGGAUACAUACCCAGCAACUAUGUCACUGAAACCAGCAAUUCCCUGGAGAUCUUUGAGUGGUACUCAAAGAAUAUCACUCGGAGCCAAGCAGAGCAACUGCUGAAACAGGAGGGCAAGGAAGGGGGCUUCAUUGUCCGAGACUCCACCAGCAAAACAGGGAAAUACACUGUCUCUGUCUACGCCAAGUCCUCUGUAGACCCCCAAGGCACAAUCCGCCAUUAUGUUGUAUGCUGCACGCCCCAGAAUCAGUAUUACCUGGCAGAAAAGCACCUGUUCAACACCAUCCCGGAGCUCAUCACGUACCAUCAGCACAACUCUGCCGGGCUCAUAUCCAGACUGAAGUACCCUGUGUCUCAACAUCAGAAAAGUGCUCCUUCCACAGCUGGCCUCGGCUAUGGGUCAUGGGAGAUUGACCCAAAGGAUCUGACCUUCCUGAAGGAACUGGGGACUGGGCAGUUUGGCGUGGUGAAGUACGGGAAAUGGAGAGGCCAGUACGACGUUGCUAUCAAGAUGAUCAGGGAGGGUUCCAUGUCAGAGGAUGAGUUUAUCGAUGAAGCCAAAGUUAUGAUGAACCUGUCUCAUGAGAAGCUGGUGCAGCUCUAUGGGGUCUGCACCAAGCAGCGUCCCAUCUUCAUCAUCACAGAGUACAUGGCCAACGGCUGCCUCCUGAACUUCCUGAGGGAAACUCGGCAGCGGUUCCAGCCUGCUGAGCUGCUGGAGAUGUGCAAGGAUGUCUGUGAAGCUAUGGAGUACCUGGAAUCCAAGCAGUUCCUGCACCGAGACCUGGUAGGGCUGUGGCUGAAGGACACAUCUCCAGCUCAGCGACAGCCACAGCAUGUCCUAGACAGGGUCCAGCUAGUUCAUCAGCAUGAGGAGAGGCAGCUCGGCAGCCUUCUCUGCAGAACAUCCCUUUAAGCUUCCCUGCCCACCUCAGCAUGGGCGGGAUGCUCUGAAGUCACUGCUCUGCAGCUGCUCGCAACUGUUUGGUGAACGACCAAGGGAUUGUGAAAGUAUCAGAUUUUGGCCUUUCCAGGUAUGUUCUAGAUGAUGAGUAUACAAG